GACGAACGCUGGCGGCGUGCUUAACACAUGCAAGUCGAGCGGAAAGGCCCUUCGGGGUACUCGAGCGGCGAACGGGUGAGUAACCCGUGAGUAACCUGCCCUAGACUUUGGGAUAACCCUCGGAAACGGUGGCUAAUACCGCAUACUCCUUCUAAAUCGCCUGCUUUGGUUGGGAAAGUUUUUCGGUCUGGGAUGGACUCGCGUCCUAUCAGCUUGUUGUUGGGGUAAUGGCCUACCAAGGCGAGGAAGGGUAGCCGGCCUGAGAGGGCGACCGGCCACAAGGGGACUGAGAGACGGCGCAGACUCCUACGGGAGGCAGCAGUGGGGAAUAUUGCACAAUGGGAGGAAGCCUGAUGAGGAGACGCCGCGGGAGGGAUGACGGCCUGCGGGUUGUAAACCUCUUUCAGCAGGGACGAAGCGUAAGUGACGGUACCUGCAGAAGAAGCGCCGGCCAACUACGUG
rnacentral:rRNA from 1 species